UACGAAGGGGGCUAGCGUUGCUCGGAAUCACUGGGCGUAAAGGGUGCGUAGGCGGGUCUUUAAGUCAGGGGUGAAAUCCUGGAGCUCAACUCCAGAACUGUCUUUGAUACUGAAGAUCUUGAGUUCGGGAGAGGUGAGUGGAACUGCGAGUGUAGAGGUGAAAUUCGUAGAUAUUCGGAGGAACACCAGUGGCGAAGGCGGCUCGCUGGCUCGAUACUGACGCUGAGGUGCGAAAGCGUGGGGAGCAAACAGG
rnacentral:rRNA from 1 species